rnacentral:rRNA from 1 species
UACGUAGGGGGCGAGCGUUGUCCGGAUUCAUUGGGCGUAAAGAGCUCGUAGGCGGCUUGGCAAGUCGGGUGUGAAACCUCCAGGCUCAACCUGGAGUCGCCACCCGAUACUGCCAUGGCUAGAGUCCGGUAGGGGCCCACGGAAUUCCUGGUGUAGCGGUGAAAUGCGCAGAUAUCGUCUGGAACGCCGAAGGUGAAAACAGCUCGCUGGGGUUGUGCUGACGCUGAGACACGAAAGCCAGGGGAGCGAACGGG